UACGGAGGGUGCGAGCGUUUGUCCGGAAUCACUGGGCGUAAAGGGCGCGUAGGCGGCCUGAUAAGUAGGGGGUGAAAUCCUGCGGCUUAACCGCAGGGCUGCCUUCUAAACUGUCAGGCUUGAGCACAGUAGAGGCAGGUGGAAUUCCCGGUGUAGCGGUGGAAUGCGUAGAGAUCGGGAAGAACAUCAGUGGCGAAGGCGGCCUGCUGGGCUGUUGCUGACGCUGAGGCGCGACAGCGUGGGGGAGCAAACAGG
rnacentral:rRNA from 1 species